rnacentral:lncRNA from 1 species
GGACAGCCGUGUGCACCGUGCGCUGGGCCGGGCGGGGAGCAGCUGAGGCCACGUUGGGGGACCCCGGGCCCGGGGCAGGGCUCUGGGAGAGUGGCCUAGCCGUGUGUGCGCCCCUAGCCCAGCGGCUUCACUCCCUCCCGAGGGCCCCGUGGCCGCGGCUUUAGGCGUCCAGAGGAUCGAUCGCCGCCAGACAUCCCUGGCCGUGAUUGCCCGAGCACUUGACCGCGAGGGAUGGGGGCGCCGCGGCCUCUGGGCAGGGGACUCCGGGCGCCCCGAGGGAGCAGCCGGGACCAGUGCCUCGCGGACGGAUUGUGCCCCGCUCCCCCAAGGGGGACCCGCGUCGACACGCUCCUCGGUCACCGUCCUCCUCCUGCCCGGGCGCCGCCUGCCUAAGGUGGCCCCAGAAAGCACAAACGGGUCGGGCGGAUCUGCCGCUGGCGCCGGCGCAGCCCUUCCCACGUGCUCCUUCCGGCUGAUUUAUUUCUCCACCACGAUGCCAGGCACGGGCACCCUGUGCCAAGCCUGGUUAAGCGCCAGGAGUCCAAAAUGCCUGCCAUAGUCCCUGCGCAAAGUUCACGGCCUCGUGCCAGGGACAGACAGCGCCCCCUCCCCACCCCAACACAGGGUGGUGAGUGCGAUGGCAGAAGGCGCGUGUCCCGGCGCCCCUCCUGGAGUAGGAGGGCUAAGCCUGCCCUGCGGGGAGACCGAAAGGCUGGGAGGGACCUAGGACUGUGGGGGCCUGGGGGGAGGGCUGCAGAAACCCCAGAGCAUGGUGGCAGAGGCAGGCACAGAAAGCAGGACAAAUCUCACACCUGACCCCAGCAAGCCUUUCCUGGCACACCUCUUGCCAAAUGCUGAGCACUCUGGAAACAGCCAGUGCAGGCGGCCUGUCCCGCCCCUGUAGCUGCUGCUGGGAGCCUCCCUCGCCUGCGUCCUCCCAGAAUCUGGCCUCACUUCUGCAGGCCUGGGGUAACAUCUUGGGGUCAGCGCCCCAGGAGAGGAGGCGCCUGGAGGCAGCAGAGAUGUUUAUGUAACAGCAGCCAGGCAGCCUGGAGGAGCAGAUUUUCCAUAGAAGGAAGCGCGGGGCUGUGCAGCUCCCAGGCUGAGGACUCUGCCCACCACGACGUCCUCUGCUCCUGAGAAGAGAGUGGCCCAUUCGGUGUCCACCCGUCAGGCCACCCAGCAGCCAGGCACGCUCAUAAGCCCGCGUUACGGAUGGUGCGGCCGGGUGCACAGGCCCGAGGGAAGCACAGGCCUCGGCCUCCCAGCUCCCAACCCCUGCACCACCCACAGCCGGGAGUACCCCAUGGACAGCUGUGGCCGAGGAGAAGCCAGGGAUGAGGGGGAUGGGCCUCACCUCCCCACCAGCCUGGGAAGGGGGUAGGCCCCUGGCAAGUAGGUGAGAAGCUUUUUCAUUCACAAGUUGUCCGGGCUCCCCAUUCCUCUUUGUCAGGCCAGCGGGUGUGGGCAGUCGGGGGAGGCUGGGGUCCUGACACAACAGGAGUACAUCUGCUGGCCUAGGGCCUGGAGACCUUCUCCUACAGGUCGGGAGGCAGCCCUGGGCAGCGGGCAUUGCGGGGACUAAAGAGAAACAAGAGCAGGUUGUGUGCAGGGCACCCCAGCCACUCCAGAAACCCAAUGGGAGGGUGGGGGCUAGGACCCCAAGAAGCUGAAUUGGGGUGCAGUGCCGCCAGGCCUCCCCUGUAGGAGUCACUUUGGGCUUCCUGUCCCAACUUGUGGUGGGAGCUGGGGCAAGGUUCCAGGGGUACCCCGAAUGAAUGGGGCUGUUCCCAAGCUGGCCAGGGAGCCUGGAAGCAGAUGAGAUGGGGCCGCAGAGCCUGGUUUGCGGAGGGGAGAGGCAGACGUGUCCUGCAGCCCUCUCUUCUUCAGAGGCCCCCUGCGGGUGCUGAGGGGAGAGUGGCUUAGGCGUUGCACCCCAGGAGACUGAACUGGGUCAGUUCCCCCUUGUUUGCUGCCAGAGAAAUGGGGGUACCAUUGUCAGGGUGAGCUAAGGAGGCCCUGCUGACAUUGGCCCAACCAGGCCCCUCCUUUGCGGCUGCUGUGGGGACUUUCGAGAGCAGAGCACACCCCUAAGUGCGUGGAGAGGUAAGCACAGCUGGUGAGCACACGGGGACAGCGACGGAGCUCAUGGAGACCCAGGUGACCUUAAAACACCCCAGGGCCGGCUCCGGCCCCAGAGAGAUGUGGUCCGAGUAGAGGGGGGUCAGCAGUGACCUGGUGGGUGGGUGUAUUUGAGGGGUGCCUGUGUUGAAAGCUCUGCAGUAGAUUCUAAGGAGCAGCCAGGGCUGAGACUCCCGGUGCUGAGCCCAAGGCCCCUUUCCUUCCUGCAGGAGUUCAUCUUGGCUCUUGCAGCCCCCAUGACCCUGUGGCGCUGGGGGGCGGCUAGCAUGAUGCUCCCCAUUUUUCAGGAGGGAAGCUGAGGCUCAGAGACAUCAUGAGGAUGCCAGCUCAAGGCCCAGCCAGGCCUUGGUCCUCAGCUGCUGUCAUCCAGUAGGGUAAGUGGGACCCCCAGGAGGUGUUGGGGGACACUCCUCCCCUCCCCCACACUCACAGUCUGUUCACCGCCCAAGGCAGCAGGCUGGACUCGGUGCAGGGACCAUGGCUUGGCGUGGCCAGGUUGGAGUGGCCCCUGGGACUGAAAGCAGGGGGCGUGGGGGCUCUGAGGCGGGGCCGAGUGCGGGGACGUCCUGUGGCGGGUACCCUGCUGGGUCCUGGGUGGGGGCCACCACCAGGCAGCUGUGGGAACAUUCCAGACCACCUAGGAGUAGGGCCCCUUCACCGUUUGAAGCUGACUGUAAAAAACAUCUGACCUGUGUGCAAAGCUCAAGCCCAGAGGCCUCCAGGGUGUCCAGCCUCCAGGGUGCCUCCUACGCAGCCUCCACGUCCCCAUCCACUGCAGCCCCUGACCAUCGGGCACACCGUGGGGCCUUCGCUGGCCGCCGGGCCUCAGGUUCUGCUGCACCAAGUGAUUUUUAAAGCCCCAUCUGCCUUUCUCCACUUAUAAAGAACUUGGGACAUUUCCUCGAGGUUGGGCAUUUUUCCAGAUGUGGUUUCAGUGUCUCGCUUGCUACCUGGUCCCCUGUGCUGGGCGGUCCGCUGUGACGCACCUGGCAGUCCUUGCUCUAGGAUGGAUUCGGGCCGGCCCUUGUUCUGAGAACAGAGAACGGCCCUUGUUCUGAGGAGGCUGGGGUCUGGAAUCUGCUUCCUGGUCCCCUGCUGUGUGCAGACAGCCACCGUCACCCAGGCCCAGGGGUGCCUGCAGGUGCUGGGCAUCUCACCCUGGCCCCCACAGGGGCUCCCCAUGCCCUGCACCCCUCGGUCUGUGCCGGGGACUUCCCUGCUCUGCUGUUGCAGGCCUCGUCCUUUGCCGAGGGGGUCUCUUUCCCACGUGUCCCUGAGACUCCUCAGCCAUCCCAGAGGCUCUCGGCCGUCUGAGCACCCCUGACCAUGAAGCCUUCCUGGCCCACUCUCUGUGUGUGAGGCAGAGCCCAUCCCUACCAUUCCGACCCACACCAGAGGCUCCGGAAGGUUUGCUGACUGACCUGUGACUGCAAGAAGCUGAAGGAAUGUGGGCGCAGACCCGGCAGGGGCUUUUCUUGGUGCAAAGUCAACUGGCUGUCCAUGCAAGCCUGCUGCUGUGGCCAGCCCUCC